rnacentral:rRNA from 1 species
GACGAACGCUGGCGGCGCGCCUAACACAUGCAAGUCGAACGAGCGAGAGAGAGCUUGCUUUCUCAAGCGAGUGGCGAACGGGUGAGUAACGCGUGAGGAACCUGCCUCAAAGAGGGGGACAACAGUUGGAAACGACUGCUAAUACCGCAUAAGCCCACAGGUCGGCAUCGACCAGAGGGAACAGGAGCAAUCCGCUUUGAGAUGGCCUCGCGUCCGAUUAGCUAGUUGGUGAGGUAACGGCCCACCAAGGCAACGAUCGGUAGCCGGACUGAGAGGUUGAACGGCCACAUUGGGACUGAGACACGGCCCAGACUCCUACGGGAGGCAGCAGUGGGGAAUAUUGCACAAUGGGGGAAACCCUGAUGCAGCGACGCCGCGUGGAGGAAGAAGGUCUUCGGAUUGUAAACUCCUGUUGUUGAGGAAGAUAAUGACGGUACUCAACAAGGAAGUGACGGCUAACUACGUG